rnacentral:lncRNA from 1 species
ACAUGCAUCGAUAACAGUCUUUAUUUUAAGAUUUGCAAAUUUUCUCACAAGUGAUGCACCAAAGCGAAACACAUUUUAUUGACUGGUGCAGAAAUCAGAGCCAUUUUAUUGACUGAUUGUGAUCCCAUGACCGACCGGCUCUUGGCUCUUCAAGCUUAGUUGGCGCCCAAGCACCAAUGCUUACAAGCCUCAGCAUCUGCAAAAAGGGCCAAGAUCAUCAGAACAGAUGAUUCCUUUUCCCUUUGUGAAAAGAAAACAUAUUCUAUCAAUGUAAGGAGGAGGAGCAUGAGGAGGAGGAGCAUGCACAGGGUGGCAACAGCGGCCGCUCUCUUCUUCGCC